rnacentral:rRNA from 1 species
AUACGGAGGGAGCGAGCGUUAAUCGGAAUUACUGGGCGUAAAGCGCGCGUAGGCGGCUUUGUAAGUCGGAUGUGAAAGCCCUGGGCUCAACCUGGGAAUGGCAUUCGAUACUGCAGAGCUAGAGUAUGGUAGAGGGAAGUGGAAUUUCCGGUGUAGCGGUGAAAUGCGUAGAUAUCGGAAGGAACACCAGUGGCGAAGGCGACUUCCUGGGCCAAUACUGACGCUGAGGUGCGAAAGCGUGGGGAGCAAACAGGAUUAGAUACCCGAGUAGUCC